rnacentral:rRNA from 1 species
AUACGUAGGUGGCGAGCGUUGUCCGGAAUUACUGGGUGUAAAGGGAGCGCAGGCGGGAAUGCAAGUUGAAUGUCAAAUCUAUGGGCUCAACCCAUAGCCGCGUUCAAAACUGCAUUUCUUGAGUGGAGUAGAGGUAGGCGGAAUUCCUAGUGUAGCGGUGAAAUGCGUAGAUAUUAGGAGGAACACCAGUGGCGAAGGCGGCCUACUGGGCUUUUACUGACGCUGGGGCUCGAAAGCGUGGGGAGCAAACAGGAUUAGAUACCCUGGUAGUCCACGCUGUAAACGAUGAUUACUAGGUGUGAGGGGACUGACCCCUUCCGUGCCGGAGUUAACACAAUAAGUAAUCCACCUGGGGAGUACGGCCGCAAGGUUGAA